rnacentral:tRNA from 1 species
UAUGGCUCAGUGGUAGAGUGCUUGCCUAACAUGCAUGAAGUCCUGGGUUCAAUUCCUCAGUA